rnacentral:rRNA from 1 species
UACGUAGGGACCAAGCGUUGUUCGGAUUCAUUGGGCGUAAAGCGCACGUAGGCGGCCCAGCCAGUCGGGUGUGAAAGCCCUCGGCUUAACUGUGAAACUGCCUUUGAUACUGCUUUUCUUGAGUUCGGGAGAGGUUGAUGGAAUUCCAGGUGUAGCGGUGAAAUGCGUAGAUAUCUGGAAGAACACCAGUGGCGAAGGCGGUCAACUGGCCCGUAACUGACGCUCAGGCACGAAAGCGUGGGUAGCGAACAGG